rnacentral:rRNA from 1 species
AUUGAACGCUGGCGGCAGGCCUAACACAUGCAAGUCGAACGAGUGGCGGACGGGUGAGUAAUGUCUGGGCAACUGCCCGAUGGAUGGGGAUAACUACUGGAAACGUUAGCUAAUACCGCAUACCUUCGUUUGGGCCCAGAUGGGUUGAGCUAGUAGGUGGGGUAACGGCUCACCAAGGCGCCGAUCCCUAGCUGGUCUUAGAGGAUGACCAGCCACACUGGAACUGAGACACGGUCCAGACUCCUACGGGAGGCAGCAGUGGGGAAUAUUGCACAAUGGGCGCAAGCCUGAUGCAGCCAUGCCGCGUGUAUGAAGAAGGCCUUCGGGUUGUAAAGUACUUUAAGCGGGGAGGCGUUACUCGCAGAAGAAGCACCGGCUAACUCCGUGCCAGCAGCCGCGGUAAUUC